AAUCAAGGCAAAUUUCUAGGCAAGGGUUUUUCCCAAAUCGUCCAUAGGUAAGUCAAUAUGUACUUAGAUUAUAUUGGCUGGAAGAAAUGCACUCAAUGGUCUUUUUGCAGACUCCCAGAAGAAAGGGAGUUUUAUUUAGCAAAAGCUCUAGAAGUGCUUAAAUGAGCCCUGCCUGCCAAGCUGUUUUAUCCACUCAAGUAGAGCAAUUGAGCACAAACAGAAAUUCCAAGGCUCUUGCAAGAGAAGGGAGAGCAGAGGCAAAAAGAGAUCAUUUCUGGAGAGCUGAUGUACUAUUCUUUAAUACACGUAGGAGCCAGGCAUGACUAUUUUGAGAGACUUUUCUGAAAAUCUCUGUUUGUUUGUCAUGAAGGGAAAAGAAAUGCCAAAUAACAUCCACAGCAGCACAGACCAAGACAUCCCCACAGCCAGAGAAGAGGAAUUGAACAGAAAUUCCAUCCAAUUUCACGGCAUAAACCCGCUCACGCUCUGGGGACGCAGAAAAGGUUAGUCUAGUUCUGUCACUCAGAAGCACAGGGCUGGGAAGCUGGGCUGUCCCCCACGCUGACCUUCAGUGGCACAUGGAUGUAGGGAGCAGAUGGCUGCGAUCAGCAGGUGCCGCGCUGUUCCGACACCUCACCACCAGCGCGGCUGCCAAGUGCCAACGCCCCGCGCCACUUCCAGCUAGAUCUGGCCUCUGGGAGAGAUACGGCUCUUCUUCAGGCAGAAGAGUCAGCACCAGUAGUUUCAGAUGAAUUAUCACCAGGGACUUGGUGUAGAACCAACCUUCUUCUUUGUUCGUCAGGGAAAUUUCAGCUGGGCUUUAAAAUAUCACUCUCCAAAAGUGAGUUGAGCUCAUUAAUCUCUGGAACUUCAGAGCUCUGAAACACCGAGAGGUUUAGCUGCAUUUUACCUGACAUCAAAUAUUACUAUUUUCCACAAAUGUUCCAGCAGAACUGAUGAAGAUUUGAUGAAUUAAUUCAAUAUUUUGGCUUUGCAGGAUGUUUAGUAUUAUCACAAACUGCUUCUUCAACCCACGUCAACCAAUUCCAUUUUCACAACAUGCAAGAAAAUCAUGCCAGAACUAAGAAUGAAAUUGUCAUCCGUGAUAGUCCCAGUCCUAUAAAAAGAGAUUUCAUUUUUAAGAAGGAAAUACAGAUUUUUGAUUUCGUACCUCUCCUAUUUUAUCAUAGUGGGUUUUUUUCCCCACUGAUUUUAAUUUUCGAUUAUAUGGAAAACUUGUAAAUUAUAAUAAAUUUUGUUAUAUUAUUUCUUUCA
rnacentral:lncRNA from 1 species